rnacentral:tRNA from 1 species
GCUGGGGACGUAGUUCAGUGGUUAGAGAGUGUGUUUAUCAUGCACGAGGCCCUGGGUUCAAUUCCCAGCCCUGCA